AGUAUAACAUGUUAUACAGAAUAUUAAAGUGUCAAGUGUAUAUAGAAGUACCUUGCUUUCUCCCAGCUAGAUUACAAUCACUGGUGGACAGAGACCAGGUCACAUGCUUACUUUAAAUCCCGGAAGGUGGAAUGGUUAUGCAAAGGAACAAAAACUGUCGGUUUAGUCAUCUUUUUGACACAUUUACAGAACAGCCACCUCUGUGCCACAAUGCUACUGGGACGCAGAGGUGAAGAGGUGCCACCACCGUCAAGAGGCCUUGGAGAAAGACCAUGGCACAUUAAAGAAAUAAUCGGAGGCAGCACUGGAAAAAGGAGCAUCUGGAUGCAGUAAAGACCCAUCCCUUCCCGCACUGGAGCUGUUGGCUCAUCCCUGGAAAUCACAACAAUCAAGAAUGGAGAAUCGUUCUUUUCAUCCCUUCUCACAGCAUUAUCCCAGCAACCUCAUCCCCUAACAAUGGUGUGGUCUGUGUUAUGUUUUCCCUCCAUCACUGCCCCUCCCUGCUGCUGCACAACAGAGGUGCUGUGCCCCAGAGGCCGCUGAGGUUGCAGGCCUCUCAGCCUCUGAAACAAGGCUGUGAGCGUUUGGAUGCACCCUCAGAAGGAGCUGCAUAAAUAAUCAGAUGAAAAACACCAAACCUUAACUAAAAAUGAAUUUUUUUUCCUCCAUUUUUUCCUCCAUUAAACCAGCUAAAAGAUUUUCAUGACAAUUCCCUGUAGUGUGAUAAAACAGACACCCUUGCAUGUUGCUCUGAACUAUUUGUUAGUAUUAUGUGUUUGGAAAAUAAUCUGGCAGUAUUUCAAAUGCCUUAAAAAUGUUCAUCCCUUUGUGCCCAAUAAUUCUCAUUUCUGGCAUCUGACUUUAAGGUAAUAAUUCAAAGGAAAGAAAAAGAUGUAUGUAUGAAGAUAUAUAUUGCAGUACUAGUUGGGG
rnacentral:lncRNA from 10 species